rnacentral:rRNA from 1 species
CUACGGGAGGCAGCAGUGGGGAAUCUUGCACAAUGGAGGAAACUCUGAUGCAGCGAUGCCGCGUGAGUGAAGAAGGCCCUUGGGUUGUAAAGCUCUUUCGUCGGGGAAGAAAAUGACUGUACCCGAAUAAGAAGGUCCGGCUAACUUCGUGCCAGCAGCCGCGGUAAUACGAAGGGACCUAGCGUAGUUCGGAAUUACUGGGCUUAAAGAGUUCGUAGGUGGUUGAAAAAGUUGGUGGUGAAAUCCCAGAGCUUAACUCUGGAACUGCCAUCAAAACUUUUCAGCUAGAGUAUGAUAGAGGAAAGCAGAAUUUCUAGUGUAGAGGUGAAAUUCGUAGGUAUUAGAAAGAAUACCAAUUGCGAAGGCAGCUUUCUGGAUCAUUACUGACACUGAGGAACGAAAGCAUGGGUAGCGAAGAGGAUUAGAUACCCUCGUAGUCCAUGCCGUAAACGAUGUGUGUUAGACGUUGGAAAUCUAUUUUCAGUGUCGCAGGGAAACCGAUAAACACACCGCCUGGGGAGUACGACCGCAAGGUUAAAACUCAAAGGAAUUGACGGA